rnacentral:rRNA from 1 species
AAACCAACAGGGAUUGCCUUAGUAACGGCGAGUGAAGCGGCAAAAGCUCAAAUUUGAAAUCUAGCACUUUCAGUGUUCGAGUUGUAAUUUGAAGAAGGUAACUUUGGAAUUGGCUCUUGUCUAUGUUCCUUGGAACAGGACGUCACAGAGGGUGAGAAUCCCGUGCGAUGAGAUGUCCAAUUCUAUGUAAAGUGCUUUCGAAGAGUCGAGUUGUUUGGGAAUGCAGCUCUAAGUGGGUGGUAAAUUCCAUCUAAAGCUAAAUAUUGGCGAGAGACCGAUAGCGAACAAGUACAGUGAUGGAAAGAUGAAAAGAACUUUGAAAAGAGAGUGAAAAAGUACGUGAAAUUGUUGAAAGGGAAGGGCUUGAGAUCAGACUUGGUAUUUUGUGUUCCUUAUUCUUUUUGGAUUUGGUUCCUCACAGCUUACCGGGCCAGCAUCGGUUUGGAUGGUAGGAUAAUGACAUUGGAAUGUAGCUUUGCUUCGGUGAAGUGUUAUAGACU